rnacentral:ncRNA from 1 species
AGGGCGUUUCAGUAGCACGCUCAAGACCCGAAGCGGAGUGAUCUAGCCAUGGGCAGGUUGAAGCGGAGGUAAGACUUCGUGGAGGACCGAACCCACCAGGGUUGAAAACCUGGGGGAUGACCUGUGGUUAGGGGUGAAAGGCCAAUCAAACUCCGUGAUAGCUGGUUCUCCCCGAAAUGCAUUUAGGUGCAGCGUCGUGUGUUUCUUGCCGGAGGUAGAGCACUGGAUAU